rnacentral:rRNA from 1 species
GACGAACGCUGGCGGCGUGCUUAACACAUGCAAGUCGAACGGAAAGGCCCUGCUUUUGUGGGGUGCUCGAGUGGCGAACGGGUGAGUAACACGUGAGUAACCUGCCCUUGACUUUGGGAUAACUUCAGGAAACUGGGGCUAAUACCGGAUAGGAGCUCCUGCUGCAUGGUGGGGGAUGGAAAGUUUCGGCGGUUGGGGAUGGACUCGCGGCUUAUCAGCUUGUUGGUGGGGUAGUGGCUUACCAAGGCUUUGACGGGUAGCCGGCCUGAGAGGGUGACCGGCCACAUUGGGACUGAGAUACGGCCCAGACUCCUACGGGGGGCAGCAGUGGGGAAUAUUGCACAAUGGGCGGAAGCCGGAUGCAGCAACGCCGCGGGCGGGAUGACGGCCUUCGGUUUGUAAACCGCUUUCGCCUGUGACGAAGCGGGAGUGACGGUAAUGGGUAAAGAAGCACCGGCUAACUACGUG